AGAUGGCGACCGGCGCACGGGUGAGUAACACGUAUCCAACCUGCCGAUAACUCGGGGAUAGCCUUUCGAGAGAAAGAUUAAUACCCGAUGGCAUAAUAGAACCGCAUGGUUUGAUUAUUAAAGAAUUUCGGUUAUCGAUGGGGAUGCGUUCCAUUAGGCAGUUGGUGGGGUAACGGCCCACCAAACCUUCGAUGGAUAGGGGUUCUGAGAGGAAGGUCCCCCACAUUGGAACUGAGACACGGUCCAA
rnacentral:rRNA from 1 species